rnacentral:rRNA from 1 species
UAGGGAAUAUUGCUUAAUGGGCGAAAGCCUGAAGCAGCAACGCCGCGUGUGUGAAGAAGGCCUUCGGGUUGUAAAACACUUUUUGAGGGGAUGAGGAAGGACAGUACCCUCAGAAUAAGCCUCGGCUAACUACGUGCCAGCAGCCGCGGUAAAACGUAGGAGGCGAGCGUUAUCCGGAUUUACUGGGCGUAAAGCGCGUGCAGGCGGCACGGCAAGUUGGAUGUGAAAGCUCCCGGCUUAACUGGGAGAGGUCGUUCAAAACUGCCGAGCUAGAGUGCGGGAGAGGGAGGUGGAAUUCCGGGUGUAGUGGUGAAAUGCGUAGAUAUCCGGAGGAACACCAGUGGCGAAAGCGGCCUCCUGGACCACUCCUGACACUCAGACGCGAAAGCUAGGGUAGCAAACGG